CUAGUUGGCUGCGCGGGCAAACGAGGUUCACGCGGGCUGGAAGACGCGCGAGAAUUCCAGAAGCUUCGAGGAUUCUCCAGGAGCUGCUGGAAGCUGCUAGGCGCGGGCAGAGAGGCACGGGCGGGCCGAGGACGCGCGGGGCGCACGGGCCCGUAGCACGCCAAAAUGAGGUUCAUUGCCAGAAUCUGCCAGAAAAUUCCAAAACGUCCUAGAUUGCUCCCAAACAGCCCAAACAGGGGCAGACACGUGGAAAAUCACCAACCACGAGUU
rnacentral:lncRNA from 1 species